ACGGAAGGCAGCAGUGGGGGAUAUUGCACAAUGGAGGAAACUCUGAUGCAGCAACGCCGCGUGAGGGAAGAAGGUCUUCGGAUUGUAAACCUAAGUUGUCAGGGACGAAAGAAAUGACGGUACCUGAAGAGAAAGCUCCGGCUAACUACGUGCCAGCAGCCGCGGUAAUACGUAGGGAGCGAGCGUUGUCCGGAUUUACUGGGUGUAAAGGGUGCGUAGGCGGGCUUGCAAGUCAGGCGUGAAAUCCCGUGGCUCAACUGCGGGGCUGCGCUUGAAACUGUAGGUCUUGAGUGAGGUAGAGGCAAGCGGAAUUCCUAGUGUAGCGGUGAAAUGCGUAGAUAUUAGGAGGAACACCAGUGGCGAAGGCGGCUUGCUGGACGACAACUGACGCUGAGGCGCGAAAGCGUGGGGAGCAAACAGGAUUAGAUACCCUGGUA
rnacentral:rRNA from 1 species